CUUUCUCGGAAUAUAAGCUCAGAAUCUCAAGUGUAAUGUGGCUCUUGUCUUUUUCUAAGGAAGAAACUGAGUCUCAGGGAGGUGGGCAUCUGUGCAGUUACCCAGCUAAUUUAAUGAGAGCUUGUGGACCAACAAGAACCAGGGCUCGGUUCCCACCUCUGCCUAACUCUGAGGUUUCUCCGCAAUGUGUCAGUCUCCUCGUGGAAGAAUUAGCCAGCCCCACUGAAGAAGUCUGGAAGCAAGAAAAAAGGAGAUCCAAGGAAAGAACCAAAUGUACCUUGUGAUAUGCUAGAACAUGAAGGGACCCUGAGGACAUGAUACUAAGCACGAUAGAGCAGGCACAAAGGGAGUUAUGCCGUACGACUCCCUUCAUAAGGGAAUCUGAAUCAGUCAAACUCAGCAAAGCGGAGAGUGAAAGCAUGGCUGCCAGGACAAGGGAAGAACAGAACUACGCUACCUGAUGGACAGUGUUUCCAGCGAGAUGAAAAGGUUCUAGAGAUCCGCUGUUCAACAACGGGCAGCAUCUGAAAAAAAUAUUACAAUGGGAUUCGCAUGCUCAGAGGAAUUUAGAGCCGGGAGAAGGAGCAUGCGCACACCAGAUUCAAGGAAAAG